rnacentral:rRNA from 1 species
UACGGAGGGUGCAAACGUUGCUCGGAAUCAUUGGGCGUAAAGCGCACGUAGGCGGCCUAUCAAGUCGGGUGUGAAAGCCCUGGGCUCAACCUGGGAAUUGCGAUGGAGACUGCAAGGCUUGAAUCUGGCAGAGGGGGGGUAGAAUUCCACGUGUAGCGGUGAAAUGCGUAGAUAUCUGGAGGAACACCGAUGGCGAAGGCAGCCCCCUGGGUCAAGAUUGACGCUCAUGCACGAAAGCGUGGGGAGCAAACAGG